rnacentral:rRNA from 1 species
UACGAAGGGGGCGAGCGUUAUUCGGAUUUAUUGGGCGUAAAGGGCGCGUAGGCGGCUGGGCAAGUCUGGUGUGAAAACGCUACCGCUCAACGGAGCGAUUGCGCUGGAAACUGCCCAACUUGAGUGCAGGAGAGGCAUGCGGAAUACCCGGUGUAGCGGUGGAAUGCUUAGAGAUCGGGUAGAACAUCUGAGGCGAAGGCGGCAUGCUGGCCUGUAACUGACGCUGAGGCGCGAAAGCGUGGGGAUCAAA